UCCGUCUGCCGGGCAGGACGUGUCGCUCUUUCGCGGCACCCCGCGGUGCUAGGGCUCCGCCCUCGUCUUCGAGGCUCCAGAGCUGAUAUAACAGAUUCCACAUCAUAAAUCGAAACACGUCCACUGCUGAAAAGAAGUCCGGCUGGAGUACAUCCGUCGUGGUACAUAAAAAAGCCUACAGAUCCCUGAACAAAAGUCUCUCUUAAGAGGGAUAUUGUUACAAUCCCUGAUCGACGCUUCGUAGUUAAUUUGAGGGUCAUACAAAGCUACGAAAACUAAAGAUCUGUUGCAGUUUUUCUCUCGUACGGAUUGGUCAUAAUCCCAGCACUUGGCAGUCGACUUGAGGGUCAUAGUCCAGGUCCAGAAAAUUGAUGAUUACUGCUGCCAAUCUUUUGGUGUCCGAUGUCUGGCGACGUCUGAUGCUGCAAGAUCUUUUACCAAGCGCAUUGGACAACCACAUAGCAGCUGACAUGAAGAUGCGACUCCACCUGGCUGAGGCAACCACUUGGCUGGGAAGAUCUGCAACAUACAGCCUGAUUUAUAACCUCCACGGGGUGUAAGUGGCUCCCAUCACGCCGAAGUCAACCUCACCUGCUCGCGGUACACCCUGCUAAACCCACUAACGAGGCUCUGGCGUCCCUCCCCAUAUGAGAACGUAUAAAAUCUCAUCUGGGGAUCACGUAUAAAGCGAUUAUUUACUAUAUACCUAAAGCUAUAUUAUAAAACUUUUAAUGAAAAUUUUGUUCAAUGAAUUAACAAUGGUUAUACAUUCUAAUCUUAGAUUUUAAGGUUUAAAUAUAAGUAUUUAGAACAGGGGCGGAUUCAAA